UUUAAUCCUCUUUUUCGCUAUGCUCUGGGGCCCUGGUGGCCAUGAAGCCGCCUGCAGGGACACCGCAUGUCCUUUUAGCGCUAAAACAGGCCGUGAGUUACACGUGGCGGAGGGUGCGCCUCAGCAGUCCCUCACGGCCUGCUCCUCUUUCCACAGGUUACACUGUCGCCUGCCCAGCCCGGCCUGCCCAGCUCGCUCCAGCUUGUAAAGCUUAAGGAACGAUUGAGAGUAACGUGACUUUGAAAGAUACUGUAUGAGAUGACAGAAAAAAAUACAUUUUUAGUGGGAAAAGGUGAGUAUAUUGGGAGAAUCGGCCCAAAUAGUUAAAAGGGGUGGUAGCUGAAGGCCAGUUCUUGCACUAAUUGGCUGGGAGCAGGGGAUACUUAAAUUUGGUGGCUUUCCAGAGCAUGUGCUUGUGCUGGGAAAUGGCCACGUGUGUGACUUGGUCGCUUGGUGGAAUGUGCAGCUCCUGGAUUUUGGGGAGCAGUGGAGCAGGGCCUGGGGCUGGGCACGUGUGUGUGAGGUGCACGGGAAAAAUCAGUGGGCUGUGGUGGGAGUGGAUAAAGGGCAAGUGAAAAGCAAAGGGCUGGAUGGCCCACCUGUGAGAGGUGCUGCUUUUGGAGCCCUCUGAAACUGGGAGGGGGGAGAGGGGUGUAAGGAAGAAGCCACGUGCUCUCCUGUGGAUCCGGACUUGCCAACCACCCUCCCAUCCAGAGGGAGUGCCAGCUGCCAGGGAAGCCACACUCUGACCUCGUGGGCCAAGGGCAUUCCAGGGAAGCUGAUCCUGGAGGGGGGUGGCUCACAGGAUGUGGGUGGGAGCAGCAGUUUGUGUGUGUGUGUGUGUAAACCCUGAAAUCAGCCCUGCCCGGUGCUGCUUCUAAAUCUGUACUUGGCUGCCGUAGAGAAUAUAAUAAACUUGAUUUGCUUUGG